AUUGAACGCUGGCGGCAGGCUUAACACAUGCAAGUCGAGCGAGCGGCGGACGGGUGAGUAAUGUCUGGGAAACUGCCUGAUGGAGGGGGAUAACUACUGGAAACGGUAGCUAAUACCGCAUACCAUCGGAUGUGCCCAGAUGGGAUUAGCUAGUAGGUGGGGUAAAGGCUCACCUAGGCGACUAUCCCUAGCUGGUCUGAGAGGAUGACCCGCCCCACGGGAACUGAAACACGGGCCAAACUCCUACGGGGGGCGGCAGUGGGGAAUAUUGCACAAUGGGGGCAAGCCUGAUGCAGCCAUGCCGCGGGUAUGAAGAGGGCCUUCGGGUUGUAAAGUACGUUCAGCGGGGAGGCGUUACCCGCAGAAGAAGCACCGGCUAACUCCGUGCCAGCAGCCGCGGUAAUUC
rnacentral:rRNA from 1 species